rnacentral:rRNA from 1 species
GUAAGUGUCUAAGGGCGCAUGGUGGAUGCCUUGGCAUCGAGAGCCGAUGAAGGACGUGGGAGGCUGCGAUAUGCCUCGGGGAGCUGUCAACCGAGCGUGGAUCCGAGGAUUUCCGAAUGGGGAAACCCAGCACGAGUGAUGUCGUGCUACCCGCAUCUGAAUAUAUAGGGUGCGGGAGGGAACGCGGGGAAGUGAAACAUCUCAGUACCCGUAGGAGGAGAAAACAAUUGUGAUUCCGCAAGUAGUGGCGAGCGAACGCGGAACAGGCUAAACCGCACGCAUGGGUAACCGGGUAGGGGUUGUGUGUGCGGGGUUGUGGGAGGAUAUGUCUCAGCGCUACCCGGCUGAGAGGCAGUCAGAAAGUGUCGUGGUUAGCGGAAGUGGCCUGGGAUGGUCUGCCGUAGACGGUGAGAGCCCGGUACGCGAAAACCCGGCACCUGCCUAGUAUCAAUUCCCGAGUAGCAGCGGGCCCGUGGAAUCCGCUGUGAAUCCGCCGGGACCACCCGGUAAGCCUAAAUACUCCUCGAUGACCGAUAGCGGAUUAGUACCGUGAGGGAAUGGUGAAAAGUACCCCGGGAGGGGAGUGAAAGAGUACCUGAAACCGUGUGCCUACAAUCCGUCAGAGCCUCCUUUUCCUCUCCGGAGGAGGGUGGUGAUGGCGUGCCUUUUGAAGAAUGAGCCUGCGAGUCAGGGACAUGUCGCAAGGUUAACCCGUGUGGGGUAGCCGCAGCGAAAGCGAGUCUGAAUAGGGCGACCCACACGCGCAUACGCGCGUGUGAAUAGUGGCGUGUUCUGGACCCGAAGCGGAGUGAUCUACCCAUGGCCAGGGUGAAGCGCGGGUAAGACCGCGUGGAGGCCCGAACCCACUUAGGUUGAAGACUGAGGGGAUGAGCUGUGGGUAGGGGUGAAAGGCCAAUCAAACUCCGUGAUAGCUGGUUCUCCCCGAAAUGCAUUUAGGUGCAGCGUUGCGUGGUUCACCGCGGAGGUAGAGCUACUGGAUGGCCGAUGGGCCCUACUAGGUUACUGACGUCAGCCAAACUCCGAAUGCCGUGGUGUAAAGCGUGGCAGUGAGACGGCGGGGGAUAAGCUCCGUACGUCGAAAGGGAAACAGCCCAGAUCGCCGGCUAAGGCCCCCAAGCGUGUGCUAAGUGGGAAAGGAUGUGCAGUCGCAAAGACAACCAGGAGGUUGGCUUAGAAGCAGCCACCCUUGAAAGAGUGCGUAAUAGCUCACUGGUCAAGUGAUUGUGCGCCGAUAAUGUAGCGGGGCUCAAGCACACCGCCGAAGCCGCGGCACAUCCACCUUGUGGUGGGUGUGGGUAGGGGAGCGUCCCUCAUUCAGCGAAGCCACCGGGUGACCGGUGGUGGAGGGUGGGGGAGUGAGAAUGCAGGCAUGAGUAGCGACAAGGCAAGUGAGAACCUUGCCCGCCGAAAGACCAAGGGUUCCUGGGCCAGGCCAGUCCGCCCAGGGUGAGUCGGGACCUAAGGCGAGGCCGACAGGCGUAGUCGAUGGACAACGGGUUGAUAUUCCCGUACCCGUGUGUGGGCGCCCGUGACGAAUCAGCGGUACUAACCACCCAAAACCGGAUCGAUCACUCCCCUUCGGGGGUGUGGAGUUCUGGGGCUGCGUGGGAACUUCGCUGGUAGUAGUCAAGCGAAGGGGUGACGCAGGAAGGUAGCCGUACCAGUCAGUGGUAACACUGGGGCAAGCCGGUAGGGAGAUCGAUAGGCAAAUCCGUCGCUCACUAAUCCUGAGAGGUGACGCAUAGCCGGUUGAGGCGAAUUCGGUGAUCCUCUGCUGCCAAGAAAAGCCUCUAGCGAGCACACACACGGCCCGUACCCCAAACCGACACAGGUGGUCAGGUAGAGCAUACCAAGGCGUACGAGAUAACUAUGGUUAAGGAACUCGGCAAAAUGCCCCCGUAACUUCGGGAGAAGGGGGACCGGAAUAUCGUGAACACCCUUGCGGUGGGAGCGGGAUCCGGUCGCAGAAACCAGUGAGGAGCGACUGUUUACUAAAAACACAGGUCCGUGCGAAGUCGCAAGACGAUGUAUACGGACUGACGCCUGCCCGGUGCUGGAAGGUUAAGAGGACCCGUUAACCCGCAAGGGUGAAGCGGAGAAUUUAAGCCCCAGUAAACGGCGGUGGUAACUAUAACCAUCCUAAGGUAGCGAAAUUCCUUGUCGGGUAAGUUCCGACCUGCACGAAUGGCGUAACGACUUCUCAACUGUCUCAACCAUAGACUCGGCGAAAUUGCACUACGAGUAAAGAUGCUCGUUACGCGCGGCAGGACGAAAAGACCCCGGGACCUUCACUACAACUUGGUAUUGAUGUUCGGUACGGUUUGUGUAGGAUAGGUGGGAGACUGUGAAACCUCGACGCCAGUUGGGGCGGAGUCGUUGUUGAAAUACCACUCUGAUCGUAUUGGGCAUCUAACCUCGAACCCUGAAUCGGGUUUAGGGACAGUGCCUGGCGGGUAGUUUAACUGGGGCGGUUGCCUCCUAAAAUGUA